AACGAACGCUGGCGGCGCGCCUAAUACAUGCAAGUCGAGCGAGAAGACGUAGCAAUACGUUUGUAAAGCGGCGAACGGGUGAGGAAUACAUGGGUAACCUACCCUCGAGUGGGGAAUAACUAGCCGAAAGGUUAGCUAAUACCGCGUACGCUCCUUGGACUUCGGUUCAGGGAGGAAAGCGAUACCGUGGGUAUCGCGCUCUUGGAUGGGCUCAUGUCCUAUCAGCUUGUUGGUGAGGUAACGGCUCACCAAGGCUUCGACGGGUAGCUGGUCUGAGAGGACGAUCAGCCACACUGGCACUGCGACACGGGCCAGACUCCUACGGGAGGCAGCAGUAAGGAAUAUUGCGCAAUGGGCGAAAGCCUGACGCAGCGACGCCGCGUGGGGGAUGAAGGUCUUCGGAUUGUAAACCCCUUUCGGGAGGGAAGAUGGAACGAGCAAUCGUUCGGACGGUACCUCCAGAAGCAGCCACGGCUAACUUCGUGCCAGCCGCCGCA
rnacentral:rRNA from 1 species